GCAUUGGUGGUUUGGUGGCAAAAUUCUCACUUUCCUUGCAGGAGACCCGGGUUCAAUUCCCAGCCAAUGCG
rnacentral:tRNA from 1 species